rnacentral:rRNA from 1 species
UACGAAGGGUGCAAGCGUUACUCGGAAUUAUUGGGCGUAAAGCGCGCGCAGGCGGCCUUUUAAGUCUGAUGUGAAAGCCCCCGGCUCAACCGGGGAAGGUCAUUGGAAACUGAAGGGCUUGAGUACAGAAGAGGAAAGCGGAAUUCCACGUGUAGCGGUGAAAUGCGUAGAGAUGUGGAGGAACACCAGUGGCGAAGGCGGCUUUCUGGUCUGUAACUGACGCUGAGGCGCGAAAGCGUGGGGAGCAAACAGG